UCCGGAUUUACUGGGCGUAAAGGGCGUGCAGGCGGUUUGUUUAGUCUAGGGUGAAAGCUCCCGGCUUAACUGGGAGAGGUCCUUGGAUACUGGCAAACUUGAGGGAGGCAGAGGAAAGUGGAAUUCCCGGUGUAGUGGUGAUAUGCGUAGAUAUCGGGAGGAACACCAGUGGCGAAGGCGGCUUUCUGGGCCUUACCUGACGCUGAGACGCGAAAGCGUGGGGAGCGAACCGG
rnacentral:rRNA from 1 species